UACGUAGGGGGCAAACGUUGUCCGGAAUCAUUGGGCGUAAAGCGCGUGUAGGCGGUCCGGUAAGUCCGCUGUGAAAGUCGGGGGCUCAACCCUCGGAUGCCGGUGGAUACUGUCGGGCUUGAGUACGGAAGAGGCGAGUGGAAUUCCUGGUGUAGCGGUGAAAUGCGCAGAUAUCAGGAGGAACACCAAUUGCGAAGGCAGCUCGCUGGGACGUUACUGACGCUGAGACGCGAAAGCGUGGGGAGCAAACAGG
rnacentral:rRNA from 1 species